AUUGAACGCUGGCGGCAGGCUUAACACAUGCAAGUCGAGCGAGCGGCGGACGGGUGAGUAAUGUCUGGGAAACUGCCUGAUGGAGGGGGAUAACCACUGGAAACGGUAGCUAAUACCGCAUACUAUCGGAUGUGCCUAGAUGGGAUUAGCUAGUAGGUGGGGUAAAGGCUCCCCUAGGCGACGAUCCCUAGCUGGUCUGAGAGGAUGAACAGCCACACUGGAACUGAGACACGGUCCAGACGCCUACGGGAGGCAGCAGUGGGGAAUAUUGCACAAUGGGCGAAAGCCUGAUGCAGCCAUGCCGCGUGUGUGAAGAAGGCCUUCGGGUUGUAAAGCACUUUCAGCGGGGAGGCGUUACUCGCAGAAGAAGCACCGGCUAACUCCGUGCCAGCAGCCGCGGUAAUAC
rnacentral:rRNA from 1 species